rnacentral:lncRNA from 1 species
GGAUAAUCGAGUUUAACAUUGCAGAUUUGAAAUGUUGGAACAGAAGCAUGUGGUGUUUGUGUUUCCAGUGAUUGAGGUAGUUCCCAUUAUGCUCAGGGUAGUCAAGUCUGAUUCCACAGUUUGAAAAUGAGUAGAGUAUUCAGCAUGACGAGACUCUAUCAGAUUGAGCAUACUUUUAACGUCUAACGACAAACUAUUCAUAUCUGUGGAGAGUUCUUUCAAUCGAGUGUGUUCCUCCAUCGUUAAGGAAGGGCAAUGAAAGCACCAAGGUAAUGAAGGGCAAAAAUAUAAAAAAAAUAUGAAGAGAGAAUAUCGAUGAGUAUCUCUGCAAUGUAUUAUUAUAGUGAAUGGCUACCCAUUAUGGACUGAAGCAUUGCUACCCAACAAUAGCAAUAUUUACUGAGAAUACAGAAAAAGAAAAGUUACAACGAGAGAGACAACACAUUUUUUCCACCGCUCAAUUCCCCGGAGCCUAGGAUUUUAUAUUUGAUUCCCCACCAUAAACUUUAAGGUGAGCUGGUUACUUUUAUUCCUUGCUCUCCUUCUAUUUCCCACACACUCUGCAACAUUAGACAUCUGUCCUUGGCCUAUAACAAAAUUCUCUGAUUUUUCUGUGACUUCCAAAUUUGCUCUCCUUUGUUGAUAUGACACACGUAUCUUAUUUUGCACUUUACAAACACUUGGUGGAAUAUGUGAUUAACGUUUGUAUCACAACAUGCGGUGUUGAAUUUCAGACCACUGCACUUUAGCAGC